rnacentral:rRNA from 1 species
CAGUAGCCGCGGUAAUACGGAGGGUGCAAGCGUUAAUCGGAAUUACUGGGCGUAAAGCGCACGCAGGCGGUUUGUUAAGUCAGAUGUGAAAUCCCCGGGCUUAACCUGGGAACUGCAUUUGAAACUGGCAGGCUAGAGUCUUGUAGAGGGGGGUAGAAUUCCAGGUGUAGCGGUGAAAUGCGUAGAGAUCUGGAGGAAUACCGGUGGCGAAGGCGGCCCCCUGGACAAAGACUGACGCUCAGGUGCGAAAGCGUGGGGAGCAAACAGGAUUAGAUACCCGGGUAGUCCCUGUCUCUUAUAA